AUGCAACAGCCGCUGAAUCCAGCAUUGGUAAUGUGGGUGAUCCACCGCCCCACAAUACAAGUAGACAUCAACAGCACUUGCAAUGGAAUGGCCCUGUCCCUUCCGACCCGAGAACAAUCGACAGGCAAAGACGAUCCUCAAGCACCUGGCUGGACCAAAAGCAAUGAGCAGAACCAGCAGCAUCAGUUUUUAGGAUCUCAAGAUCAUAUCGCUGGGAGCAGUGAACCAGAGGAUACGGCUACCAUGGAGCGGACAUCUGUGAUUCAGGCUUCACUUCACGGAAGAGCUGACAGUACAUCAAUGGCUGGUGAAGGAUUCGACGACGAACCUGAAGUGCAAUCCCGUCUUACAGCCGUGGAAGAGGUCGGCACCUAUGAUCCAGAGAAUCGAAUCUGCACCGGCGGUGACAACAGGUCGGAUUCAAGCAGCUACCGCGAGUCAACGACCAGGGGAGCUGAAUAG
rnacentral:rRNA from 1 species